rnacentral:rRNA from 1 species
AUUGAACGCUGGCGGCAGGCCUAACACAUGCAAGUCGAACGAGUGGCGGACGGGUGAGUAAUGUCUGGGAAACUGCCUGAUGGAGGGGGAUAACUACUGGAAACGGUAUCUAAUACCGCAUACCAUCAGAUGUGCCCAGAUGGGAUUAGCUAGGAGGUGGGGUAAUUGCUCACCUAGGCGACGAUCCCUAGCUGGUCUGAGAGGAUGACCAGCCACACUGGAACUGAGACACGGUCCAGACUCCUACGGGAGGCAGCAGUGGGGAAUAUUGCAAAAUGGGCGCAAGCCUGAUGCAGCCAUGCCGCGUGUGUGAAGAAGGCCUUAGGGUUGUAAAGCACUUUCAGCGAGGAGGCGUUACUCGCAGAAGAAGCACCGGCUAACUCCGUGCCAGCAGCCGCGGUAAUAC